GUCCAAGAGUUGCAUACCUUCUUCAUCUUUUUCUCCUUCAGAUUCAGUCCAAGUGUUGGACGAAAUGAAAAGAAGAAAGAUUUGACCUCUCAUCUUCCUCCUUGUCUAGAUCUUCUUCUUUUCUCUUGGAAAGAGAAACAAAAAAAAGAAAUCAAAUUAAAUCUGAUUUUUUGUUCCUCUUAUAGAUCUCUUUGGUUUCCUUAAGAAGAGAAUCAAAAGGGAGAAAAGAUUCGAUA
rnacentral:lncRNA from 1 species